UACGUAGGGUGCAAGCGUUAUCCGGAAUUAUUGGGCGUAAAGAGCUCGUAGGCGGUUUGUCACGUCUGCUGUGAAAACUGGAGGCUCAACCUCCAGCCUGCAGUGGGUACGGGCAGACUAGAGUGUUGCAGGGGAGACUGGAAUUCCUGGUGUAGCGGUGAAAUGCGCAGAUAUCAGGAGGAACACCGGUGGCGAAGGCGGGACUCUGGGCCGAUACUGACGCUGAGGAGCGAAAGCGUGGGGAGCGAAACAG
rnacentral:rRNA from 1 species